CUACCGACUAAAAUCUCUAGCAGAUAGCAGUCAGAUUUUAUUUUUCACUUUUCGGGUGUCGCAAUUACGCGAAAUUUUAAAUGUAGCCUCAGAAAAAUAAUUCCAACAUAUUCUCAAGUUUUCAUAAUUUUCCGACGUUGUGAAUUUUCUGCUAAAAGAUCAGUCUUGUUUCUUACAGAAAAUUCUAAAUCUUUUAUUUCCGUUUCAAUUUUAGCACAAGUCACUUCCGACUUAUAUUUUACUUCUUUAAGUCCAAUAAUAAUAGUAUCUUACACUAUUUUUAUUUAUAUUUAAUUUUAUAUUAAAAUCUGAUACAUUACAUUCCACCCCCUUUAAAAAAAGUUUAGUCCUCGAAACUUAAAUUCAUAUAUCAAUUCGACAGAUCGAGCAAUUGA
rnacentral:lncRNA from 1 species